rnacentral:lncRNA from 1 species
GGAGAGACAUGAAAAGGGAUGGGUAAAGAAAAAUUUAAAUUAGGGUUUGGAAGAAAUAAUUAACGAAAAACUCCAAUACAGUUCAAGUCUACAUACCUGCUUAAUAUAGUUUGUUUGGUGCAGUGGAGACAAUAAACUACAUACCUGCUUAAAUAGACAAAACCUCUAACCCUAUUUCAAUUAUAAAAUGAAUAAAUCGAUUAAACCCUAAGGCGGGAGAAUCUGAAAUUGAAAUUCAAAGUUACCUUUUANN